UCAAACUCUGUGACGUCGUCCGCGGUAAGAUAGAGGUCCCAAGCGUUGUUCGGAUUCACUGGGCGUAAAGGGUGCGUAGGUGGCAGGGUAAGUUUGAUGUGAAAUCUCCGAGCUUAACUCGGAAACUGCAUUGAAUACUAUCUUGCUCGAGGUUUGGAAGGGGGACUGGAAUUCUCGGUGUAGCAGUGAAAUGCGUAGAUAUCGAGAGGAACACCAGUGGCGAAGGCGAGUCCCUGGACAACACCUGACACUGAGGCACGAAAGCUAGGGGAGCAAACAGGAUUAGAUACCCGAGUAGUC
rnacentral:rRNA from 1 species